rnacentral:rRNA from 1 species
GAUGAACGCUGGCGGCGUGCCUAAUACAUGCAAGUCGAGCGAACAGACGAGGCGCUUGCUCCUCUGACGUUAGCGGCGGACGGGUGAGUAACACGUGGAUAGCCUACCUAUAAGACUGGGAUAACUUCGGGAAACCGGAGCUAAUACCGGAUAAUAUAUUGAACCGCAUGGUUCAAUAGUGAAAGACGGUUUUGCUGUCACUUAUAGAUGGAUCCGCGCCGCAUUAGCUAGUUGGUAAGGUAACGGCUUACCAAGGCAACGAUGCGUAGCCGACCUGAGAGGGUGAUCGGCCACACUGGAACUGAGACACGGUCCAGACUCCUACGGGAGGCAGCAGUAGGGAAUCUUCCGCAAUGGGCGAAAGCCUGACGGAGCAACGCCGCGUGAGUGAUGAAGGUCUUCGGAUCGUAAAACUCUGUUAUUAGGGAAGAACAAAUGUGUAAGUAACUAUGCACGUCUUGACGGUACCUAAUCAGAAAGCCACGGCUAACUACGUG